rnacentral:rRNA from 1 species
AUAUAUUCCCGUACCGGCGAAGAACCGCCCAAGCUAAUCCAGUAGUGCUAAGUAUCUGAAUCCCUUUGAUGGAUCCCUUCGGGGUGAAGCGUUGGGCCUAGCGUACGACCCCAUGCUGGUGCGGUUAGCGUAUUAACAGGUGUGACGCAGGAAGGUAGCCCAACCCGGGCGAUGGUAGUCCCGGGGCAAGUGCGUAGGCCGAGUCGUAGGCAAAUCCGCGACUCAUGAUGGCUGAGACACGAUGCGGAUAAAAAGUGGGUGAUCCUAUGCUGCCAAGAAAAGCAUCGACGCGAGGUUCUAGCUGCCCGUACCCCAAACCGACUCAGGUGGUCAGGUAGAGAAUACUAAGGAGAUCGAGAGAAUCGUGGUUAAGGAACUCGGCAAAAUGCCCCCGUAACUUCGGGAGAAGGGGGGCCAUCGACGUAUUAGGACUUGCUCCGAAAGCGUUUGGUGGCCGCAGAGACUAGUGGGUAGCGACUGUUUACUAAAAACACAGGUCCGUGCCAAGUCGCAAGACGAUGUAUACGGACUGACGCCUGCCCGGUGCUGGAAGGUUAAGAGGAACGGUUAGCCGUAAGGCGAAGCUGAGAAUUUAAGCCCCAGUAAACGGCGGUGGUAACUAUAACCAUCCUAAGGUAGCGAAAUUCCUUGUCGGGUAAAUUCCGACCUGCACGAAUGGCGUAACGACUUCCCAACUGUCUCAACCGCGAACUCGGCGAAAUUGCAUUACGAGUAAAGAUGCUCGUUACGCGCAGCAGGACGGAAAGACCCCGUGACCUUUACUAUAGCUUUGUAUUGGUGUUCGGUGUGGCUUGUGUAGGAUAGGUGGGAGACGUUGAAGCUUGGACGCUAGUUCAGGUGGAGUCAUUGUUGAAAUACCACUCUGGUCACUCUGGAUAUCUAACUUCGAACCGUAAUCCGGUUCAGGGACAGUGCAUGGUGGGUAGUUUAACUGGGGCGGUUGCCUCCUAAAGAGUAACGGAGGCGCCCAAAGGUUCCCUCAACCUGGUUGGCAAUCAGGUGGCGAGUGUAAGUGCACAAGGGAGCUUGACUGUGAGACUGACAAGUCGAGCAGGGACGAAAGUCGGGACUAGUGAUCCGGCAGUGGCUUGUGGAAGCGCUGUCGCUCAACGGAUAAAAGGUACCUCGGGGAUAACAGGCUGAUCUUGCCCAAGAGUCCAUAUCGACGGCAUGGUUUGGCACCUCGAUGUCGGCUCGUCGCAUCCUGGGGCUGGAGUAGGUCCCAAGGGUUGGGCUGUUCGCCCAUUAAAGCGGUACGCGAGCUGGGUUUAGAACGUCGUGAGACAGUUCGGUCCCUAUCCGCUGCGCGCGCAGGAAAUUUGAGAGGAUCUGACCCUACUACGAGAGGACCGGGUUGGACGAACCUCUGGUGUGUCAGUUGUUCCGCCAGGAGCACCGCUGAUUAGCUACGUUCGGGAUGGAUAACCGCUGAAAGCAUCUAAGCGGGAAGCCGGCCUCAAGAUGAGAUUUCCAUGCCUUCGGGCGAGAGGCUCCCAGCCAGACUACUGGGUUGAUAGGCCGGAUGUGGAAGCGUGGUAACACGUGAAGCUGACCGGUACUAAUAAGCCGAUGAUUUG